rnacentral:tRNA from 1 species
CAGACCCUCAAAAGUCUUUUAAA